GAAUGCUUUGAAUAGUGCUGCAGUACAGCCACAGCCAUCUAAUAAUUAUUUCAAUACACUUCUAAUAUGCAUUUUGGACAGUUUCAGCCUCUGGAAGGAGUCAUGCCGAGGACACCCUUGAAGUUACUUCACUGGCAAUGACAUAUUGACAGAGGACAUACUACAGUAGAGGGCCAAAACUUUGCCCUAGUAAACAAAAAAUUCUCCAUAAAAUAGCCGUGUGCAAUAAAGAAUCUGUAUCCAGCACAGAACGACAUACCUGUUUUAGUAUCAUCUUCACCUUCUUCCUCAAACUUUAUUUUCUUGCCCUGAAACUGUACUUUCCCUUUUUGUGUGCCUUGAGGUAUCUUCCCCCCUCUUCCUUUUCCUUUAAGUUUGCGACCUUUUGUUUUCUGUUUCAGCAAUUCCUGCUGAUCUUCCAUUAUUUUUUUCAGAGCUUCUUUCUCCUCAUCUCCUUCUAGCAACUCCCAAGUAACAUCCUUGUUCCGAAGCUGUAGGUUUCCAUUAUGUGCUUCUUUGGCUUUUUCCAGAGCUUCUUUUGCAGUAUCCUUAAAUAGGAUAAUUCCCUUAAGAAGAAAAAAGGCAUUUGCGUGUUACUGUGAAAACACUCAGCCAGAACGAUGAACAACAUAUCCUGCUAGGUACCUCAGCAAGUUCAUUAUGCUUGCAUGAUGUGAAAAAUCCAGACUGAAACAAAACCCUCAGACUGACCUAACAAGCAUUCUUAGUCUCAGUAUUGAACUAAUCAGCUGAUGAGCCUGGAACCUUUACCCGUGCUUUUGAAAGAAUUCAAGUGAAUGAUUUCGUUUUCUAAAUAUUCUGCAGUUCCACAAGUCAAAUUAAACAAAAAAAGAAAACAGAAGUAAUUAUUUACUUCUGUUAUAUAGGAGCACAUGCAUUUAAUUAUUAAGCUUCAAACUCCAAUACUAAGAUCUUUACUCAGAGUCCAAGAUUAUACUGACCUCCUUUGCACCUCUUACGAAGUGUAUCCAUUUGAUUUCUCCAUGAUCAGAAAAUACUGCAUGGAGAUCUUCUCUGCACGUUUGAUCAUCUAGAUCACCAAAAAACUUCAAAAGACAUCCUGUCUUUUCUUCUAGAGAUUUCUAAAUAAAAGUUGAAGACAUUUUUA